rnacentral:misc_RNA from 1 species
GAUGAAGAACGUAGCGAAAUGCGAUAAGUAGUGUGAAUUGCAGAAUUCAGUGAAUCAUCGAAUCUUUGAACGCACAUUGCGCCCUUUGGUAUUCCAAAGGGCAUGCCUGUUCGAGCGUCAUUUGUACCCUCAAGCUUUGCUUGGUGUUGGGCGUCUUGUCUCUAGCUUUGAUGGAGACUCGCCUUAAAGUAAUUGGCAGCCGGCCUACUGGUUUCGGAGCGCAGCACAAGUCGCACUCUCUAUCAGCAAAGGUCUAGCAUCCAUUAAGCCUUUUUUUCAACUUUUGACCUCGGAUCAGGUAGGGAUACCCGCUGAACUUAAGCAUAUCAAUAAGCGGAGGA